rnacentral:rRNA from 1 species
UAAUCACUUGUCUCUUAAAUGGGGACCUGUAUGAAUGGCUUUUCACUCUUUCACUGUCUCUCUUCCCUCCCUCCUAAUCUUCUAAUCACGUGAAGAAGCGUGAACAAAUAAGAAAGACGAGAAGACCCUGUCGAGCUUAAGCUAACCCUGAAAUGUCGUCUGCCUUUUUUCUUAGAAAGAGGUAAAUUUCAGAUAAAGUUUUGGUUGGGGCAACCGUGGAGAAAAAGAAUCCUCCAGUUAGUUAGGAAGAAAACCUUUCACCUAAAAAAUUUAGCGACCCAGUUACUCUGGUAAACGGAAAAAGUUACCGCAGGGAUAACAGCGUUAUCUUCUCUAAGAGCCCAUAUUGACGAGAAGGAUUGCGACCUCGAUGUUGGAUUGGGGUAACC